GAAGUCCUCUCUGACCAGCACCACAGGCCAGGUUAGGGCUGGGCUCCUCCAGGCUGCCAUAGCACUGUAUGCUCACUGUGCCUCUGUGGACGUGCUCUCGGGGGAAGGGACCCCGUCUGAUUCCUCCCUGUGCCCCAGCACCUGAAUCAGCCUGGGAGGGCUGAUGAAAAGGGAAGAUCCUACCAAAUGCCCUAUGGUUGGUGACCAGGAGCUCUGCACAAGCAGCCUUACAGACUUCCCAGAAACAUCCCAAAAGGCCAGCUCUAGAAAGACCUGAGAAGUUAACCCGUUUUUCAGAGGGGAAACUGAUGCCCAGUUGGGGACAGGUGGCACUUAAGGACGCAUGACCUGUUAGUGGCAGAGCCAGGGACUCCACCAAACUCCCCCAGCCCUCUUCCCACGAUCAUGCUGCCUCUGAACCUUGGGAACAGGCUCUGGGGAGUUCAUUUCCUCAGAAAGAAAUCCACUACCCUCCAGGUCCUGGGCUCAGGCUGGGACACCAACAUCCCUAGGACACAGUCCUGUUGUUCAAGGAGCUGUGCUGACACGUAGCCCAAAAGCUAUAAAGCAGAGUGAAAAGGAAAGAACAGAAAUGAGUGCAGAAGUGGCACCCAGGGAGAUGGGAGAGGUCAGGCGAGACAUCUUGGAAGAAGUGACAUCUAGACUGAGUCUUGAAUGAGAGUUUACAAGGAGGACUAAGUUGGAUACAAGAGGGGAGAGGAGAGGAAGUGGUGGUCCAGUUAAAGAGAAACGUGCAAAGACACAGAAACAUGAAACGAUACAGCAGGAUGGGGAACUGCACCAGCCGUGGUGAGGCUGAACCCCAAGCACAGGAGGGAAUCUGCACUUCGAGGCUGGCACAGGGGGCCAGGCCACAUCAGGAGGGGCUUGGAAGCCGUGCUAAUCCAACUGGACUCCAGCUUAGCUGGAGCUGUGAUAUGCUGAGAACUGAUACUUGCAGAAAUGAGUUCACGUUGACUUCAGAAGACGGC
rnacentral:lncRNA from 1 species